UGAUGGAUUCCCCCCAAAGUGAGGAAAGGGAAGUCCUUAAAUAGGCAAAUUUGGACAGAUUUUGGUUCACCAAAUGUCUGUCCGACAAAAACUGACAUUGUGUGCUAAACACUGUUCAAAAUCUGUCCAAAGGUCAAAGGAAAUCUACUAUGUCAGAAACAAAGAGAAAAAAAAUAUCAUUUCAGCCACCCUAACUAGUAAAAGUAGACUACUAGCACCCUAUUUUGUGAUAAAAUAACAUAAACUUCAGAUUUUAACAACAUCAAUAUCACCCUGUUGAUUCAAACUAAACCAAGUAUUAAAACAUGUAAUUAAACUUCACACUUGUGUUAUGAAUCAAUCGUAAGCAAACAAAAAUUAACUAUUAAAGCCAAACGAAAUGCACGCUAUCGCUGGAGAGAUUUAAUAAAACCAACUAGACAAACAUAAUCAAAAAUGGAUUAAAUGAAGAAACAAGAUAGAAACUAACUUUAACUAAAAAAAUCAAAAAAUUAAUAACGGGGCAGGAUUACGAUUUUACCAUAUACACUCAAGCAUUUCCUCACUACCUCACUUUAAUCAACACAAAGCUAUUUUACUGCUUCAACAAGUGCAAAAACAGAAAAUUUAACAUUCCAAAACUUCAAAAACUAAUGCUAAAAUAAUUAAUAAUAAUAAAUAAAAUCUGAAAAAUAUAAAUAAAAAUAAAAAAUCAGCCAUGAAAAAGAAUAGGAUUUUACCAUUUUACAAUUCAAGUGGCCGAAAAAAUGGUGGUAUGCCAAAAGAGGGUGUUCGGGGAGGUCGCCGGAAUUUGGCCGGAUUUUGGUCACCGGAUUUUCAGGGUGAAAUUCGCAUCAAUAGCUAGGUCUUGAGGAGCUCUAUCCAUUGAUGUAGGUAUUGUGGGGUUGUAGCGGUUGGAGCUUCAAUAAUUUGGGCAAAAACGUGACGGGAAAGCUUCCUAGAUCUAAGAUUCAAGGAGUUUGAGGGAUUUUUGAAGGAUUUGGUUUGGAAAUAUGGAAAGAGGAAGUUGUGGAUAUUACAUGGUGUGAAUUUGGAGGUGUUUGAAGGUAGUCCACUGGCGGCGGCGAUUUCCGGCCGGCAGCGGUGGGGCGGCGGCAGC
rnacentral:lncRNA from 1 species